rnacentral:rRNA from 1 species
UUCUUUGGAGAGUUUGAUCCUGGCUCAGGACGAACGCUGGCGGCGUGCCUAAUACAUGCAAGUCGAGCGGACCRAAYSGGAGCUUGCUCUGGUUUGGUCAGCGGCGGACGGGUGAGUAACACGUGGGCAACCUGCCCGCAAGACCGGGAUAACUCCGGGAAACCGGAGCUAAUACCG